UAUUGGUGCACAAUGCCUCUA
rnacentral:siRNA from 1 species